GGCUCCGUGGCGAAACGGCAAACGCGGCGGAUUUAAAAUCCGCUACCUGCGAGGGUUUCUGGGUUCGAGUCCCGGCGGAGCCA
rnacentral:tRNA from 1 species